UACGUAGGGUGCAAGCGUUGUCCGGAAUUAUUGGGCGUAAAAGAGCUCGUAGGCGGUUUUGUUGCGUCGGCUGUGAAAUCCCGAGGCUCAACCUCGGGUCUGCAGUCGAUACGAGCAAACUAGAGUGUUGCAGGGGGAGACUGGAAUUCCUGGUGUAGCGGUGAAAUGCGCAGAUAUCAGGAGGAACACCGGUGGGCGAAGGCGGGUCUCUGGGCAACAACUGACGCUGGAGGAGCGAAAGCGUGGGGAGCGAACAGG
rnacentral:rRNA from 1 species